rnacentral:rRNA from 1 species
UGAGAGGAUGAUCAGUCACACUGGAACUGAGACACGGUCCAGACUCCUACGGGAGGCAGCAGUGGGGAAUAUUACACAAUGGAGGAAACUCUGAUGUAGCAACGCCGCGUGGAGGAUGACACAUUUCGGUGCGUAAACUCCUUUUAUAUGGGAAGAUAAUGACGGUACCAUAUGAAUAAGCACCGGCUAACUCCGUGCCAGCAGCCGCGGUAAUACGGAGGGUGCAAGCGUUACUCGGAAUCACUGGGCGUAAAGCGCAUGUAGGCGGUCUUGUAAGUUGGGUGUGAAAGCCUAUGGCUCAACCAUAGAACUGCACCCAAAACUACUAGACUAGAGUCUGGGAGAGGAAAAUGGAGUUAGUUGUGUAGGGGUAAAAUCCGUAGAGAUAACUAGGAAUACCAAAAGCGAAGGCAAUUUUCUGGAACAGUACUGACGCUCAGAUGCGAAAGCGUGGGUAGCAAACAGGAUUAGAUACCCUGGUAGUCCACGCCCUAAACGAUGAAUGUUAGUCGUCGGGAGGCUCGUCCUUUCGGUGAUGCAGCUAACGCAUUAAACAUUCCGCCUGGGGAGUACGGUCGCAAGAUUAAAACUCAAAGGAAUAGACGGGGACCCGCACAAGUGGUGGAGCAUGUGGUUUAAUUCGAAGAUACGCGAAGAACCUUACCUAGCCUUGACAUUGAUAGAAUCCGAUGGAAACAUUGGAGUGCCAGUUUACUGGAGCUUGAAAACAGGUGCUGCACGGCUGUCGUCAGCUCGUGUCGUGAGAUGUUGGGUUAAGUCCCGCAACGAGCGCAACCCUCGUCCUUAGUUACUAACGGUUCGGCCGAGGACUCUAAGGAGACUGCCUUCGUAAGGAGGAGGAAGGUGAGGACGACGUCAAGUCAUCAUGGCCCUUACGGCUAGGGCGACACACGUGCUACAAUGGAUAGGACAAUGAGACGCAAUACCGCGAGGUGGAGCAAAUCUAUAAACCUAUUCUCAGUUCGGAUUGUAGUCUGCAACUCGACUACAUGAAGCUGGAAUCACUAGUAAUCGUAGAUCAGCCAUGCUACGGUGAAUACGUUCCCGGGUCUUGUACUCACCGCCCGUCACACCAUGGGAGUUGAUUUCACCCGAAGCGGGGAAGCUAAACUGGCUACCCUCCACGGUGGAAUCAGCGACUGGGGUGAAGUGGUAACAAGG